rnacentral:rRNA from 1 species
ACUCAAAGGAAUAGACGGGGACCCGCACAAGCGGUGGAGCAUGUGGAUUAAUUCGACGCAACGCGAAGAACCUUACCAAGGCUUGACAUCCCGGCGAAUAUGUCAGAAAUGCUAUAGGCCCUUCGGGGACGCCGGAGACAGGUGGUGCAUGGUUGUCGUCAGCUCGUGUCGUGAGAUGUUGGGUUAAGUCCCGCAACGAGCGCAACCCCUAUCCUUAAUAGCCACCGGGUAGAGCCGGGCACUUUAGGGAGACUGCCGUGGAUAACACGGAGGAAGGUGGGGACGAUGUCAAAUCAUCAUGCCCCUUAUGCCUUGGGCUUCACACGUGCUACAAUGGCCCCAACAGAGUGAGGCGAAGCUGUGAAGCGGAGCAAACCACGAAAAGGGGUCCCAGUUCGGAUUGCAGGCUGCAACCCGCCUGCAUGAAGUUGGAAUCGCUAGUAAUCGCGAAUCAGCACGUCGCGGUGAAUACGUUCCCGGGUCUUGUACACACCGCCCGU